UGGCUCAUUAAAUCAGUUAUAGUUUAUUUGAUGGUACCUUGCUACAUGGAUAACUGUGGUAAUUCUAGAGCUAAUACAUGCAAUAAAGCCCCGACUUCUGGAAGGGGUGUAUUUAUUAGAUAAAAAACCAACGCGGUUCGCCGCUCCAUUGGUGAUUCAUAAUAACUUGUCGAAUCGCACGGCCUUGUGCUGGCGAUGCUUCAUUCAAAUAUCUGCCCUAUCAACUUUCGAUGGUAGGAUAGUGGCCUACCAUGGUUUCAACGGGUAACGGGGAAUAAGGGUUCGAUUCCGGAGAGGGAGCCUGAGAAACGGCUACCACAUCCAAGGAAGGCAGCAGGCGCGCAAAUUACCCAAUCCCGACACGGGGAGGUAGUGACAAUAAAUAACAAUAUAGGGCCCUUUCGGGUCUUAUAAUUGGAAUGAGUACAAUUUAAAUCCCUUAACGAGGAACAAUUGGAGGGCAAGUCUGGUGCCAGCAGCCGCGGUAAUUCCAGCUCCAAUAGCGUAUAUUAAAGUUGUUGCAGUUAAAAAGCUCGUAGUUGAACUUCAGGUCUGGGCCGGAUGGUCUGCCUAACGGUAUGUACUGUCCUUGGCCUGGCCUUACCUCUUGGUGAGCCAUUAUGCCCUUCACUGGGUGUGGUGGGGAACCAGGACUUUUACCUUGAGAAAAUUAGAGUGUUCAAAGCAGGCCUAUGCCCGAAUACAUUAGCAUGGAAUAAUAAAAUAGGACGUGCGGUUCUAUUUUGUUGGUUUCUAGAGUCGCCGUAAUGAUUAAUAGGGAUAGUUGGGGGCAUUAGUAUUCAGUUGCUAGAGGUGAAAUUCUUGGAUUUACUGAAGACUAACUACUGCGAAAGCAUUUGCCAAGGAUGUUUUCAUUAAUCAAGAACGAAGGUUAGGGGAUCGAAAACGAUCAGAUACCGUUGUAGUCUUAACAGUAAACUAUGCCGACUAGGGAUCGGGCGAACUCAAUUUUAUGUGGCGCUCGGCACCUUACGAGAAAUCAAA
rnacentral:rRNA from 1 species